rnacentral:lncRNA from 1 species
GCAAAGGCUGGGUCAAUUUGUUGUGUGACUGGUAUGGUGUUCUGGGGUCUUUGUUGGUCCCCGGUUUUAUGGGGGGGAGGGUGUGACAACCCUCCACUCUGUCUCCCGAAUUCUUUCUCUUUGCUCUUGUUUUCCUUAAUAGGAUGUAGGUGGGCGGAGCCGGGAGCGUCAUCAGCCAAAUUGGACAACCAGGCCCGGGUGUGUCCCAGGAUAAAUGCACCUCUUCACCAUUCAUUGAGGAGACUCUCUCCAUGCAGACACAGAUUUUGGUGGACUUCUCCUGUGGGAACAGCACAAAGCCCAGAGCGGACAUGGCCUUCCACUUCAACCCGCGCUUUAACUGAUCUCCCUGCAUCGUGUGUAAGAUGAUGCAGAGAGCGGGAGCAAGGAAGAUAUCCAGCAUUAGCACGCCUUCACACUGGG